GGCUGUAUUGGGCAAAUUUGGUAUCGAUUCCGAAAUCCCAGAAAGAAUAUUUUCUAAGUUUUUUUCAUGGAAGGUUCCUUUUUUUUUGGUUUUUUUGAAAGCUUCUCUCAAUUAUUUUAAUUGGAUGAUAUAUAAAAAUUUCCCACCUUUUUGAAGAAUAGGUUGUACUCCAAUUAGGAGAAUCGAUGUACUGGUUAAUACGAUUUGAUAAAAGAAUGCUUGUUAUAUAAUAGUUGAAAUGGUGUUGUUUGGUC
rnacentral:misc_RNA from 1 species